rnacentral:rRNA from 1 species
AGAGUUUGAUCCUGGCUCAGGAUCAACGCUGGCGGCGUGCCUAACGCAUGUAAGUCGCACGCAGGGCCUUCGGGUCCUGAGUGGCGAACGGCUGAGGAACACGUACGAAUCUGCCCGUUUGUGGGGAAUAACGCGCCGAAAGGCGUGCUAAUACCGCGUACGCUCAUCGCAAGAUGAGGAAAGCCGCAAGGCGCAGACGGAGGGGCGUGCGGCCCAUCAGGUCGUUGGUGGGGUAAUGGCCUACCAAGCCGGUGACGGGUAGCUGGUCUGUGAGGACGAUCAGCCAGACUGGGACUGCGACACGGCCCAGACACCUACGGGUGGCAGCAGCGAGGAAUCUUCUACAAUGAGCGCAAGCCCGAUAGAGCAACGCCGCGUGGAGGACGACGGCCUUCGGGUUGUAAACUCCUUUCAGGGGGGAUGACACUGACAGUACCCCCAGAAGCAGCCCCGGCUAACUCUGUGCCAGCAGCCGCGGUAAUACAGAGGGGGCAAGCGUUGUCCGGAUUUACUGGGCGUACAGCGCGCACAGGCGGCCUGGUACGUGCCGUGUGACAUACGGAAGCUUAACUUCCGGGGGCCAUGGUAGACGACCCGGCUGGAGGCAGGGAGAGGGAUGUGGAAUACCCGGUGGAGCGGUGAAAUGCGUAGAGAUCGGGUGGAACACCAGCGGUGAAGGCGGCAUCCUGGCCCUGACCUGACGCUGAGGCGCGAGAGCGUGGGGAGCGAACCGGAUUAGAUACCCUAGUAGUCC